CUACCCGUCGUUCCUACUGUGGGGUUCCUAUAGCAAGGGGUGAUGGGGGCGUCCCCCGGCAUUGCAUCCCUUGUAUACCUUCCCUGUUAUGCCUGGCAGUAACAGGUGCCUGGUGAAUGGUCCCCAGGAUAAAGGAUAGAGAAAAACAGUGAGGAAUUUUCCGCCAGUCUGGGGGACAUUCUACUCAAUUGCAGCCUGGAGCCAUUCUCCCAAGAAGGGGUUCCCAUACUCCACCAAAGGUUAGAGUUUGGUACUUUCCUUGAACUGGAGUCCCGAGUGGGACUUUCCUCGCAGUUCAGAGCAUGGUCAGGUGCCAGAGGGAGGGAUACCAAUUCCAGCCUUAGAAAAAGAAACCUUCCACGGGAGUCUUGGAGAUUGGCGGUGGUCCUAAUGACUUAAGUGGCCGACCCGCGCCCACGUAAAAUUUGUCUAUUAGAGAUAGAGUCAGGAAGGAAUGGAUUAAUUCAUUCUCCAUCACCCUGAGGCUUAAGGUACUGAUUCUCUUCACGCUGAAUGCCACAGUUUGCCCCAUAGAGUAGCCAUGGGCAGCAAAUGUGGAUUCAUACAGCCAUCCAAGAAAGUUCCCGAUGGAGAAGUGAAUUUAGAUCCAUCCUUGAAAAAGAGAAAGGCACAAGGAAAGGAAAAAAGGGCACUUACCAGAACUCGAGCUCACAAGCCGAUGAAGCGAGAUCCCUGUACGGGCCACCAGAAAUGAUGCGGGGUCGGUGAGCCGAGGAGUCGAAAGAAAGAUUUCUUAGACUCUCAAGAUCUGGCAGUAGUGCUCUUUUAUUUAGAGAAUAGUAUAGAAUAGCAUGGGAACAGGAGCCAUGGGCAGUCAGAGCUUCUGCUGCCGCCGCUUCUGCUGCCCCCGCUGGCAUGGGGACAGAGCCCAUGGGCAGGCAGAGCCGCUACUGCUGCCCCCGCUGGCAUGGGGACAGGACCCACGGGCAGGCAGAGCUCCUGCUGCUGCCCCGAGUUGAGGGUUAGGACUAAAUUUAAGGCAUAGGUAUGUGAGUCAUCUCUUUACAAGACAAAGAAUAUGUGAAAAAGUUAAAAUGGUAUCAGUGCCCUUAUGGCCUGCCAUUUGGCGGUC
rnacentral:lncRNA from 1 species